rnacentral:rRNA from 1 species
AAAACGACUCUCGGCAACGGAUAUCUCGGCUCUCGCAUCGAUGAAGAACGUAGCGAAAUGCGAUACUUGGUGUGAAUUGCAGAAUCACGUGAACCAUCGAGUCUUUGAACGCAAGUUGCGCCCGAAGCCAUCAGGCCGAGGGCACGUCUGCCUGGGCGUCACG